UGGAAGUGUAAGUGGGGAAAUAUUUCAAAGUCUGAGCCUAAAGUAGAAAUAAUCUGAGCGUUAUCCAGAAAAAAAAAGUCCUUGAAUUUGGCUUUCAAGUUUCAACUCAUCAUUUGAACGAAUUGUUAGCGAAUUGGGAGUAGGCACGGGUAAGUAGUCGUUAUACUUAUCCCCUUCACUUCACAGUUCACAGUUCCCAGUUCACCCUAUAGAAGAAUACAGCAAGCUGUUGAAGUGUUGAAGUGUUGAGGUUCCAGUCAAAUUAAAUUUCAAAUAUGCUCGGAAACCAGCUUGCAAUUGGAGCCGUUAAUUACCUGCCAAUAUCAACAAAUACACCAAUCUCACCUCGCCGAGUUCAGACCAAUCAUAUCCAUUUUAUCGGAGCUCCCGCCACUCUCCGGUGCCCGUUAGUGGGGAACGCUGAAUCGGCUAUUUACUGUGUUGCUUCAGCUCCCUCAACAAAUGGCUACCCAGAAUAUGAUCGCCUAUUACCAUGUCCUUCAACAACUCACCCACCUAGAAUUGAACACUUGGUUGUCUUAAAAGAAGGCUCUGUUGGUGAUUACAUUAGCAGAACUUUGGAUCUCCCAGCUCUGUAUGUUGCUGAUCUUAUCCAUUUUGGAGCUGUAUAUUAUGCACUUGUACAUCCUGAGCCUCCAACAACUGCGACACCGGAGCAAGUUCAAGUAUAUGAGAAUUUUACUUCACCUCUUCUUCUGAAAAAGAGACGGUCACUUAAGGGGAAAACUAUUCCGGAAGCACAAAGGACCUUUCGUAUAACUCAUGUUGACGAACAUGUUGAAGUUGGAACUUACUUGCGCGUAUAUGUACAUCCACGACGCUUCCCCAGGUGCUAUGAAAUCGAUUGGAAGUUGAGGAUUAUAGCUAUUACUGAAUCGUAUGUGGUUCUGGACAAGCCUGCUGGUACCUCUGUAGGAGGAACUUCUAACAAUAUUGAAGAAAGCUGUGCAAACUUUGCUACUCGUGCUUUGGGACUGGCUAGUCCGCUCUUGACUACACAUCAGAUUGAUAACUGUACUGAAGGAUGUGUUGUGAUGGCCAGAACUGAGGAUUACUGCUCUGUUUUUCAUGAAAAAAUUAGAGAUAAGAAGGUCAAGAAACUUUAUCUUGCCCUUGUUGCAUCUCCAGUGUCAUGCGGAAUAAUCACCCAUUACAUGCAACCAGCCAAGCUUGCUCCACGUAUACUUUCUGUAGAACAUGUGAAAGGAUGGCAAUUAUGCCAGCUUGAAGUUUUGGAUUGCAAAAAAGUUCCCUGGCCAAGUUCUACUAUUGAAGAGAAGUAUCAAAUAAACGACUGUGGAUGGCCUGUCAAGAAUUUUGCUUAUGAAUGUAAAAUCGAUCUUUUGACUGGUCGAACACAUCAGAUCCGAGCACAACUUGCUGCAUGUGGGGCUCCAAUAAUAGGCGAUUCAAUGUACAUGCCAGCUGCACUUGCUGAGUUAACCAAACCCGGAGUUUCUCCCUUUGGUAAAUGCAAAGCAGAACAUACACGUGGGGAUGACAAAAGAUUUGCUAUUGAUAAUUGGAUUUCCUUGCAUGGAAAGGAGCCAAGUUUAGCUAUUGGUCUUCAAGCAUGUCAAAUUUCAUGGGAUGAUGAUAAAUAUGUCUAUGAAGCUGGAUCACCCUGGUGGAGAUGAGGACGUUUAUAAGGGGUUUGGUGUGUUCUAAGAAGUGUAGAUCUCCACGUUAAUGGAUUUUUGGUUGGCCUAUGUCCAUAACUUCAGUCUUCAUGGUUACAUGUCAAUCUUCUGCAUGAGCAAAUCAGAAGACUGUUGUAUUUUCUUGGAGUCAUAGACUCAAAAUAGAAGAAUGAUCUCCCGACAAGACAGCUCGUGUAUCUCCAUGAAAAAGCUGAGAGUGUGCAAUGUGCUAUUACUGUCCUCGGAAAUGAUCUUGAGGGUCGUGGGCUGCUUAUCGUUGUGGGGAAUUCUGUUUAUUGCAUUUCAGACAUGACGCCAGGAGGGAUUUUCAACCCUGCCUGCAGUUUGUGUUUGUCAGUGGAUGAUAUGGAGCUUCUUCAACUUUGAAGGGAAAUACUCAAACAGUCAAAUGUAUGGUUUAUUGUAAUAUUUAGUUAUCCACAUUUUAUAUGGGUAAAAACAUAUGCCUCUCAAAAAAUGGAAGAGGUUCAUAUGGAUGGAUGUACUAUUAAGCUGCUCUUGAUUUGUCCUGUAACCACUAACCACUGAACUUUUUACUUCUUUUUGGACUGCUAAGCACUAGGCAUGGGGAAGGUUACCUAUCUCAGGUAUCACCCCAGGACCAGGACCAGGUAGUUGACUGCCCUUCCUUCACUGCACCAGUGCACUACUAACGUUUCUCCCAGGAUUCGAACCUGAACCACUCUCCAGGAGAGUGUUGAUUAUAGACGAUAAAAAUAGAUUACGAUAUGACAUAAGUAGAUGAUGAUGGGCCGUCGGAAAAGUAGAAUUCGACGGGGGCAUCGGAAAAGUAGAUGACGGCGGGGAUCAAAGAAGUAGGAGGAAGGAGAUCGGAGUAGAUGGCCGGAUGUUGAAGAAGCAGAUGAUAACAGGAUGUCAAAGAAGAAGAACAGUAAAGGUUAGAGUUUUGAGGAUGGUGGUUCAGACUUGAGGUUAGCGAGUCCACAUGUCCUUAAUUUUAAGUUCUCAUUAUAUUUUUUAGGAAAAAUUAACAAUAGAGGUCUGAACUUUGGGCGAUAAUUUUUAAAAGGUUUGAACUAUUGAUUAACCUGUGUAGGUCCCAACUUUAGGGGGUCUUAACUUUUAGCGGGCCUCGGUGACUUAAAACUGACGAUUUUUUUUUAAAUCUCACCUAGUUCCUACUUCCCUUCCUCAAUUAACCUUUCUGGUGUGACCCAAGCUUUACAAGUUAUGACCUAUUAAGCUAGUUUCAAGUCACUAAGGCCCGCUAAAAGUUAAUACCCCAUAAAUUUGGGACCUACACAUGUUAAUCAAUAAUUCAUAACUUUUAAAAAUUAUCAUCCAAAGUUGAGACCUCUAUCGUCAAUUUUUCCUAUUUUUUAAUAUAUGUAAUUAAAAAAUUUUGCCCUAGUAUAUAUAGGUUCCUAUAUUCAUGAUUAAACAUUUUCUAAAUAAAAUUUUAAGAAUUAACUUAUAAAAUAUUACAACUUACAAGUCUUAGAUAGAGUUACAACAGUAACGAAUUCACAACUCACAACUCAUUGAAACCUUAGCAUUUAGAUAAACCUUACUGCCUAGUUUAUGUGGAUCCGGUUCCAGACUCGUCUCAUGCUCUCUAAGACUCAAACUCAACCCGGACCCAUUGGAUCUAAAAUUUCUGUACCCAUACUCUUAUAAAUGAGUCGGAUCCUAGCAAGUCUGGAUCGAAUCCAGGAUCCAUUGCCAUGUGUACUAGUCACAAACACAUCAAACCCACUGAAACUCACUCAAAAACAGUUGGAUGAGCUUCUUGUUUUCUUGAAAAUCCAUGGAUGCACAUGGUUUUGAUUUGUUAAUUCUGAAAAUACAUCUUCAAAAAUAGCAAUUCAUCUAUAAAUAGGGAGAGUGAGGUCGAAAUUUCCAUCACAAAUCAACAAACAAAAUUCAGAAAAUAAAAUCAAUUAAAAGAAAUUGGCAACAAAAUUCAAUCUUUAAUUUUCUGUUUUUUUCAACCACCAAGCAACCACCACCUCAACCACUACUGUCCCCACUUCUCAACCACCGCCGAAGAAGGAACACCACCAGACGCCGGCCAAGCGCCCUCCCCACUCGCUGCUCUCUUCCACCCCAUUCGACCCCUUCCUUUUCGUGGUCUCGCCCAAUCUCUCUCCUCUUCGUGAGCCGCACGCACCACCGCACACCGCCACCUACCCUCUUCUCGCCGUCUCUCUGCCUCUCUUUUGCCGCCUCGGCCGCCGAGAAUUGCUGCCACACCACCGGACCUUCAACCAUUCACAUCCCCUGCUUCUUUCCUUGUGCGUGAGUAUGUGUUGACAAGGAAAAUCAGUUUUCCUUAUUCUGGAAUGUCGACCUUUGACGUCAACAACGAUGUUACUAACGAUGUUGAAGAUGUGCACGUAGAGGAUGAGCAGAAUGAUGAUUAUGAACCUUUAGACCGAAAUGCCGAAAGAAUGGAAAGAUCGGAAAAUAUGACCACUAUGUUAGCUGAGUUAAUCCAGAAUCCCGGAAGAAGGUAGUUGCUAAUGAAAAUGAGAGCGUUGUGAUGUUCAAGAAGUUCUCAUCUCUUAAAACGCCAUCAUAUGAUGGUAAGCCUGAUCCAUUGGCGUUUGAGGAUUGGAUUAAUCGCAUUGACCAGUUGUUUGAAACCUUGCAAUGCCCUGAGAAAUGGAGAGUAGACUUUGUUUUAUUUUAUCUCACGGGUCAAGCAAGUUUAUGGUGAAAGAUUGUUAAAGAAAAGAAAUAUGAACAUGGGUUUGGAUGAAGCAAACUUCAGGACCUGAUGCGAGAUAAAUUUCACCCUCCCUCACUUAGGAACCAGAAAGAAGAUGAAUUCCUUCACUUAGAGCAAGGUAUAAUGAGUGUUUUGGAAUAUGCUAAUAAUUUCAUGGAGUUUUUAAGGUUUGCACCUGAGCUGGUGACCAGCGAGCAGUCAAGGAUGAACCGUUUUAAGCGAGGUCUUCAGUUCAAGUAUCAGGAUAGGUUGGCAUUUCAAAGGUUCACUUGCUUCUUACCAGGAUAUGGUUGAUGUUGUUGUUAAUGUGGAACGGGUAGUAUUGCUUCGAGAAUCUCAAAAUAGUAACUUUAAAAGUAGGCCACUCCACUAUACCCAUAAAACUCCAAACUUCGGGAACAUUAGUUGGUUUAGGCCACUCCACUAUUGCUUUUAUUUUCUUGAGAUCUAUAGACACACCUUUUUCAGAUAUGAUGUGACCCAGAAAUAAUAUCUCUUUCAACCAAAAUUCAUGCUUUGACAGCUUGGCAUAUAAUUGAUUUUCUGUUAACAUAUCCAUUACUUUCCUCAAGUGCUCCUUAUGUUCCUCCGUGUUCUUAGAGUAUACCAAAAUAUCAUCAAUGAAAACAACCACAAACUUGUCUACCUAUGGCUUGAAGACACUGUUCAUUAAAUCCAUAAAUACAGCUGGUGCAUUGGUUAACCCAAAAGGCAUAACAACAAACUCAUGAUGACCAUAUCGGGUUCUAAAGGCAGUUUUUGGGAUAUCCUCUGGCUUGAUACGAAGUUGAUGAUAACUAAAUCUCAAAUCUAUUUUUGAAAAGACUUUUGCACCUCGAAGUUGAUCAAACAAAUCAUUUAUACGGGGUAAUGGGUACUUAUUUUUUAUGGUUAUCUUGUUUAACUCCCGAUAAUCAAUACGUAACCUCAAACUUCCAUCUUUUUUCUUCACAUAUAAAACUGGGGCUCCCCAUGGUGACACACUCGGUCAAAUAUAUCCUUUUUCAAGUAACUCAUCUAAUUGUUUCUUCAAUUCUUGUAACUCGGUUGGGGCCAUCCUAUUGGGUGCCUUAGAAAUAGGGUGAUCCUAGGAUUAUCUUGAUGCUAAAAUCUAAUUCCCUUUGUGGAGGCAUACCAGGUAUCUCAUCGGGAAACACAUUUAGGUAUUCGCAAACCACAGGUAUAUCAGCUAU